rnacentral:rRNA from 1 species
GACGAACGCUGGCGGCGUGCUUAACACAUGCAAGUCGAACGAAGAGCGAUGGAAGCUUGCUUCUAUCAAUCUUAGUGGCGAACGGGUGAGUAACGCGUAAUCAACCUGCCCUUCAGAGGGGGACAACAGUUGGAAACGACUGCUAAUACCGCAUACGAUCUAAUCUCGGCAUCGAGGAUAGAUGAAAGGUGGCCUCUACAUGUAAGCUAUCACUGAAGGAGGGGAUUGCGUCUGAUUAGCUAGUUGGAGGGGUAACGGCCCACCAAGGCGAGGAUCAGUAGCCGGUCUGAGAGGAUGAACGGCCACAUUGGGACUGAGACACGGCCCAGACUCCUACGGGAGGCAGCAGUGGGGAAUCUUCCGCAAUGGACGAAAGUCUGACGGAGCAACGCCGCGUGAGUGAUGACGGCCUUCGGGUUGUAAAGCUCUGUUAAUCGGGACGAAAGGCCUUCUUGCGAAUAGUGAGAAGGAUUGACGGUACCGGAAUAGAAAGCCACGGCUAACUACGUG